CUAGAGGCAGCUGCUCCAGGAACAGAGGUGCCAUGCAGCCCCGGGUACUCCUUGUUGUUGCCCUCCUGGCGCUCCUGGCCUCUGCCCGAGCUUCAGAGGCCGAGGAUACCUCCCUUCUCAGCUUCAUGCAGGGCUACAUGAAGCACGCCACCAAGACUGCCAAGGAUGCACUGAGCAGCGUGCAGGAGUCCCAGGUGGCCCAGCAGGCCAGGGCCUUUGUCAGGCUGCUGCGGGAGAGAUGACAGAGUUGAGACUGCAUUCCUCCCAGG
rnacentral:sRNA from 1 species